AAAAUAUAUGCAAAAAUGUGUGCUCAUAGAACCUGUCAGCCACAGCUUCAGGAAAUAAUAAGCCUGCAAAGGAAGAUAGAGUUGUACUGUGACCACGGUUACCUAGGAGUCUGUAUUUUUAGUUUAAUUUUUUAUUGAUCUAUAAAGUGGUGCACCAGAGCAGGCUAGUCCCAGGUAGUUAACUAUGCAUAAGCAGUUGCAAAGUUCGAUUUUGCUGUAUAAUAUUGAGCCACAUAUUCUUCACAGUAUAUUUUGCUCAUACCUACUGCAGACUUCCACAUGACAGCUGAAUUGCAAACUGUAAAUGGCUGAAGACAGAAGACUUAUUAUAGAUUUUAUAUCCAGCCCAUGAGGAUUUUGACUGAUUCCAUUGAGCAAGCUCAGGUGAAAAACGGAAGGGCCAAGACAAAUUAAGUGACUUGUCCAGGAUCACACAACCAGUUAUUAGCUCUACUGAGAAAAAAAUACACAUCUCUUGACGCCCAGAUGAGUGUUUUGUUUUCGUUAUUUAGCAUUUCGAGUGCUUCUGUACAACAUACCAUUUGUAUUCUUUGAAACAAACUCUUCGGAUAUUUCCAGGUGUUUUUCACAUUUCUGACCUGAGAGAAAGUAUACCUAAUGGUAUAAGUAGACUUAAAAUCUAUUUAAAAUUCUCAAAAGUUUCUAAUUCUGUUCUUUUAGUAACUACUUAAAAAUGUUAAUUGUCUGUCAGUCCUUUGGUUUGGAGAACUGCUUAUGGGACCACUUUUAGGUUAUGAUAGGGAGAAGACAUUACACAUGAAAGCCAUCCGGCUGUCUAAUAUUACAGAAUAAGCCUACAUUUCACCAGCAUCCGCUCAGAGUGAUAGCCCUGAAUACAAUGGGUAUUUAAUGUUCCUUAAGAAAUUUCACUUGAAAUGUUACUCUGAAUCCAAAUUAUCAUCAAAAUGGAAAAGAUAGAGAUUGUUAUAUUUCCUGUUAGACAUAGAGCCUUAAAUAAACCUUCUGAUUCUUUUAUGCAUAAACCUAAAUUUACUUACAGAGUUAUUACUUACUUUUUAUACCUAAUUAUGUCUAUCCGUAUACACAUUUCUAAUAUAGACUCAGGUUUUAAUGAAGACUGUUUUAAAAUGCUUAAUGAGACUGUCAAGGUUCACAUUGAUAGCCUGUGUUAACAUGGCUUUAUCAGUGUUUGUUCAAUCUACCGAGUUUAUUUAUUCAGCAAAUAUUUAUCAAAAAAGAACUCUGUGCAAUUCACUGCAUACACACAGAAAAAUGCUGAGCCAACCACUGAGCACUUAAUAAUCACUCUACAUAGCAAAGAUGCCAUGCAUUUCUUAAGGUAAAUAUUAUGCCUUUGAGUAAUUUUACAAUGUUAAACUUGACAUAUUAUCAAAUUUUUAUAAUAUUGAAAUUCUAGAAUUCCUUAAGUAUUUUAUUUUAGUAAAGGUGAAAUUGCUGGCGACACACCUCAAAGGUAAAAGUUUUAUAAGGUACUAGAUGAUCUAACCAUACUACGUAAUUGAAUUGAUUGAUCGGUAUGUAAUUUAGAAUGUUUACAAAGCUUGCCACUCUGAACAGCUGAUAGGUAAAUAAACUAUUUAAAAUCACAAAUAUAUGUAAAGUCCUUCAGUGUUUACCAUAGUGGCAAAAAUAAAACGUCAUUUUUUUUUGAGACAGGGUCUCACUACAUUGCCCAGGAUGGAGCGCAGUGGCUAGUUAAAGGCAUGAUUGUAGUGUGAUACAGUCUUGAAUUUGUGGGUUCAAGUGAUCCUCCUGCCUCAGCCUCCCAAGUAGCUGGAACUACAGGUGCAUGCCACUGCGUCCAGCUAAAUGUCAGUUAUAUAUAGUAAUACGAUGACAAUACAAAAAUUUUCAUUCCUUAAUUUGUUGCAAAUCUGUAGAAUUAAACAUUUUUGUUAACAAAACUAGAAUACGAUUUUAAAAUAGCAUGCUUAAUUACCACUUCCAUUUCAGGAAAAAAAAUAUUAUGCAAUCUUCCUGUUUUUAGAAAAGCAGGUAAAACAUAACUUUGCCUUGGUAACAAGCACAUGAAUCCUUGUUACAGAACAGAAUCUUCCUAAAGCAGAAUGACUCCCAAGGUACAGGGAAUCCUGAGUGUGUUUUCCAGGAAAUUUUUUUUUCAAGUUUCUCAACAGUAAUAAAAGACUUCUGACAAACUGGUAUCAAAGAUUUCUUUGAGCAAAUAUGAGAAACUGUCAGCUUGCCACUUCUUAAUAGCAAUAAGAAGCAAAUUAUUUAUAAAAACUGAUGUGUGAAAAAAUUAGAGUUCAGAGAAACAAGAAAGAAUUUCCAAAGUAAUCUUUAGAAAUCAGGUUUUUAGAAAGUUCCCUCUGAUAUUUAAGCAUAUUACAGGGUAUGAAGUAUCUCCAAUAGUCAGCAUUAGGUUUAAUGUCCAAACAACUGUCAUCAGGUAACUAGUUCUUGAAAAUAAAUAAGAAGUGUAGCCUGAGGCUUGGCAGAGUCUAUUCCUCUGUUGUUAAGAAUUUAGAUAAUAUCUAAGGCUUGGUGCCUCACAUCUUUAACUUCCUCAGGGUGAGAUUAUGGUGGAGAAUACUCAAUACAGAACAUUAAAGGAAAAGUAAUUUUUUUUAGAACAACCAUUGUUUGGUAAAUAUGGGUGAGUGAUGGUCUUUAUAAGCCUCUAUGGCCUCCCACGCUUGUAUCUUAUUUGGUAUCAUAUUAGAUAAAAUCAAUCCUUCCCACAGAAUGUCUUCUAGGUCAUGCAGCCUAAGACUUCCUUCUUCUCCCCUCCUGCUCCUCCUUUUUCUCCUCCUUCUUUUAAGAAAACCACAGUAAGAAUAAAAAGAGUUCUGCCGGGUGCGGUGGCUCACGCCUGUAAUCUCAGCACUUUAGAAGGCCGAAGCGGGCGGAUCACCAGGUCAGGAGAUCGAGACCAGCCUGGCUAACACGGUGAAACCCCGUCUCUACUAAAAAUAUAAAAAAUUAGCCGAGCGUGAUGGUGGGCGCCUGUAGUCCCAGCUACUCGGGAGGCUGAGGCAGGAGAAUGGGGUGAACCCGGAAGUCGGAGGUUGCAGUGAGCCGAGAUGGCGCCACUGUACUCCAGCCUGGGCGACAGAGCGAGACUCCAUCUC
rnacentral:lncRNA from 1 species